AGUGGCACAUCACGUUUAUAUUCCUCUGUCUUAGUGGGAGUUUUCUGGAAACGGCCCCUAUAUCAAAUGUAUUGCUGUUUACUAUAAACUCUGAACAUGGCUAAUUUAUGUAAAAAAUAUGUUAUUGUUGUGUGUGUACUAAUUAAUUUGGCAAUGCUAUGUUUAGCUGACGUUAAACCAGAGAAUCUAAAACCAUCGAUAGAUGUGAAAGAGGAACAGAAUGUCUCCAAACAUCAUAAAACGGACAGUUUGACAAUACUUAUGUUGUUGGCCCUACUGUUACUUACAAUAUUGACAAUUUGGUUUUUCAAAUAUCGACGGUUCCGUUUUGUACACGAAACUGGUUUAUCAAUGAUUUAUGGUCUGAUAGUUGGAGCAAUUAUAAGAUAUGCUGGUCCACUUGGUAAAAAGCCAGAUUAUGCUAAGGCUGCACUCAUCAAUGGUACAUUCUACGCCAAUUCUCCACCUGAGACACUUUUUCUGUCUUUACCAAAUUUUAAUGACACCACAAAUGAAACUAUUAAAUAUAAUCUAAUAGGAAAAGUAUACUCAACUGAACCUGAUGGACUUUUGGAGAGAACUGUGACAUUUGAUCCAGAAUUAUUUUUUAAUGUGAUGUUACCGAUUAUUAUAUUUGAAGCUGGCUAUAGCAUGAAAAGGAGACAUUUCUUUAAAAAUUUAGGGGCAAUUAUGUCCUAUGCUUUUAUUGGUACAACUAUAUCAUGUUUUGCUGUUGGUGGUAUAAUGUUUGGAUUAACUAGAUUAAUGUCAAUAGAUUUCUCUCUCAAUGAUUGUUUUUUCUUUGGUGCCAUAAUAUCAGCUACUGAUCCAGUAACUAUACUGGCUAUAUUUAAUGAUCUAAAUGUGGAUGUAGAUCUAUAUGCUCUAGUAUUUGGUGAAAGUGUAUUAAAUGAUGCUGUAGCCAUUGUCUUAUCAGGGUCUGUGGAAAAAUAUGGAGAAUUGUCUGCAGGUAGCUUUGAUUCAAAAGCUUUUUUUGGUGCACUGGGCAACUUUGCUGCAAUAUUUACUGGAGCUUUUGCAAUGGGAUCUUUAAUGGGUUGUAUUACUGCUUUGAUUACUAAAUUUACAAAGAUUCGUGAUUUUCCAUUGUUAGAAACAGCUCUAUUCUUUCUCAUGUCAUACAGCACAUUUCAAGCUGCUGAAGCUGCUAGUUUCACUGGUAUUGUUGCAGUGUUAUUCUGUGGUAUAACCCAAGCUCAUUAUACAUACAAUAAUUUAUCUUUGGAGUCAAAGCAAAGGACAAAACAGUUAUUUGAAUUGGCCAACUUCUUGGCUGAAAAUUUUGUGUUUUUGUAUAUUGGUGUGUCUGUUUUUACGUUUGAAGCAUUGAAAUGGCAUGCUGGCUUUAUAUUCACAGCUAUCUUGGGUAUUAUUGUAGGAAGAUUCUUGAAUGUUUAUCCUGUAUCAUUUCUACUCAAUCUGGGCAGAAGUAAUAAAAUUAAAUUCAAUUUUCAGCAUAUGAUGAUGUUUUCAGGAUUAAGAGGAGCCAUAGCGUUUGCUUUAGCUAUAAGGAAUACAUCUUCUGAUUCCCGUCAGUAUAUGGUAUCAGCUACAGUGAUAAUAGUAUUGUCUACUGUGAUAUGUUGUGGAGGUUUAACUACUCCUAUGUUACAAUGGUUACAAAUCAGGGUUGGUGUAGAUGAAGAAUUAGAUACUAUACAGACUGCAGAAAAUACUAGAUCUGUUAGUCAGGCUAUAUCUACACAGAGACAAUACAGCACCAUGGGUCCUUCCGACCAAGCAGCAGCUCCGACACAAAACCAACCGACAACAGAAACAGAAAAUAAUGGUACUAAGAAAUAUGAAAAGGCAUGGCUGGUUUUAAAAUGGUAUAACUUUGAUACCAGGUACAUGAAACCACUAUUGACUAAUAGUCGACCAACUUUAAUGGAAACUUUACCCCAGUGUUGUCUUCCACUGGCUAAAUUAUUAACUACUGAGGAACAAAUGUCUCAAGGAACUACAAAAGAAAGAGAGGAUUCUGAAUCUGAUACAGAUAUGAUAUUAGAUCACAGUCAGUUAUCUAUGGGUGAUUCCAUGGAAACAAACGGUGCCAUGCCAUCAUCCAUAAACAGUAUUAAUGCGGAUAGAAAAUCAAAUAUACCGAAUGAAGAUAUGCUUGUACGAUUGGAUAGCGAUGACAGUCCCAUAUUCCCAUGAACUAAUACACUCUACCAAAGUUGUUUCUAAUUCAAUUAGAAGUAGAAUUUGUAUGAGGAACACCCGGGAGGAGAUUUGGGAUUGGGUCAUGCAGCUCCUGUUAGUGUCCGUGUUAAUAUUCAAGGAGGACCUGGCCACAAAUUGUGAUAGGAUGAACACUGCAAAGCAAGUUUGGUCUUACACCACAAGCUAUUCGUUAUUCCAUGCAUAAAAUUGUUUUAUUUUCCAAAAACAAUCCCAAACAUCAAAAGCAUCAUACACUUGUUAUUUUUUAUGUCAUUGUCCCAUUUUGAUAAUAAGACCAUAUUUAUCAUGUGUAGGCAACAGUCCCAAAGUUUGUACACAAAAACGGUAUCCUUUGUGAUAGUCUUUUUUUUUAAGCAGAGAAUGUUAAUAGAACCAUACACUGUUUAGCUUUUGUUUGCAAAUUUAAUGUAGAGUUCCUAUGUAUACUUAUUGUUGUUUAUUUUUAUGUACAAAAUAUAGAGUUAUAUGUAAAAAAUAUAUUCCCCCGAACAUAAUUACACUAUCUGGUCGACCCUGGAUAAGAAACCUCAUAAUUCAACCCUCUGUGUUUCGAGAUAAGUGAUAAUACUAUAUAGUUUUACCUGGCAAAACCCCAGUGCUAAUCACACGGGGAUUCAAACAGUAAAACGUUCAAUUUUGUCUUCAAAACAACGAUUGAUUAUUUAUAACAUUUCUACCAAAUCCAACUACAGUUAAUAAUUAAGCAUAUAAUCCUACCUGACACGAGUACAAAUCAUCUCUUUUAAACUGAACCGAUAAUGACUGACUUUCCGGCAUUUUAAAUUUGACAUCUUUAUGUUAUGGAGGCGGGGCUAAAAUAUGUCAUGUACAACAGCCAUCAAAAGACGCGAAAGUAGGAUAACGUUUAUAGGUCGCAAGAAUGGUUUUGUCAAUUCUGUUAGAAACACCGCUUGAUAACUUGACUGUCAAUAUUUACAGAUAACCGAAAGUUGUUUAACUGCAUUCGUCUUGGUAUGUUUAACUAGUCUUAAUAGUAAAAUUAACUAUUUUUAAGAUGUUACAUGCAUUAAUAAAGAAAUUAAAUCGGCCAGGUGAAACUAAAGGCAUCCAGUCAUAGCUAAAAACAAGCGCAUCAGUAUAUCUCAACGUUUUUAGCUACACUCUCUUAGCUAGGUCGACUCACACAACUUUUUUUUUAUCUGAAAGUUCGAUAUUUUUAGCUUAUACCAUAAAAGACCUUAUUCAUCACAGAGCUCCUACCAUCGUGUCUGCCGUUGUAUUACUAAUUACUAACACUUUCCCGGUAAUGCCACUACUCCUCCAGUUAUGUGAUUCCCAAUUAUAGAAGCUAUGUUUCUGGUAACAAAUGUAUUUUUCCUGUUAUAAACAUAGGCCUAUUUUUUAAAAAAAAAUCCUUAUCGAGAGUUAUGCAUUUAGGGUUGUGACUGUCGAGGUAAUAUAUUUUUAUUGUUAAAUGUUCAAAAUAAAUAUAGGAUUGAAUAUUCCACAACCCAAAAUGUGUGGCACCAUAAAGACCUAUUUAUAGCAAAGUAAAAUGUUUUAAAUAUUUUGUGGAUGUUGUAUUAAUAAUGUUGUCGAACGCAGAUAAAUUUGAUUGAUGCUUUACCGUCGAUGUUACAUGUUUUGGAGAGACAUUGGAAUUUGACGUCUUAUAAAUGAAUAUUAAUGAUAUCUCAAACUAAAUGUUACGAACUUGCACACCUAAUGGACAAAGUUGGUGUCCACCAAUUUUAUGUGUGUGAUAGAACUGGAUAGAACACAUGCCAAAUAUAAUUUCAACAUGGAGAUCUUUGCUACAGUUGAUUCCUAACUACGUUUUGAAAAUUCAGCAACCGAAUCGAAGUGGAGAGAGUAAAUAGAGAGAGCCGUAGGCUACGCACUGACGAAUUGUUGUUCCGGAUCAACCAUAGCAAGUAUAUGUGUUAAAAUUAUAUUUGUUAUAUGCUAACCAUUUCUAUCAUUUAUGUAAAAUUAGUGGACACCAACAUUAUCCUUUUAACUCUUCACAUCAUCGUUGAAUAUCCCCUUCUUUCAACUACCCGAUUUUAAACCAUAUUUGGACAUGGUUUAAAUUGACCAAGUAUGCGUUUGGAUUGGCUAUCAUAGAAACGACAUCGCGGGCAAAAAUAUCCUCAUUAUAUGAAAUCAAGUUCUACCCGUGUACACACACAUUCUCAUGAUAGCGUGUUGUUCAUUACACGUGAUCAGUUAUUUUUUGAGAACUAUGCACGCCACUAUGGCAACGUGACGUAAAUUAGACCAAAGCAUCUCCAGUUUUUGAAUAAUUAAGUGUCAGUUGUGGAUAUUCAACGUUGGCAUCACCUGAAGUUCUGAGACUGUCCUAUAUACCAUAAUAUUUAUAUUGUAUAAUAUGUAAUCCCUUUUUAUCUUAUGUUUACUUAAUUUUUGUUAUAAUGUUAUUAUGUAUUUUAUUGUUGAAGUUAUGAAAGGUUAGAGUUUAAAUGAAUUUUAAGAGUGAAUUAGUCAAAUUGCUUAUAAUAUAUAUAUAACUGUUAUAUUACUCACAGGGGAAAUUUUAAAUAAAUAUAUUAAUGAAAUCAUAAUUUAUGCAUAUUAUGUGAUAUUUUUUAUUCCAAAUGUCAUAUUGUAUCAUACAAUUGGUAAGAUUGAUAUUAGAACUAAAUGUUGUAUAUUAUUUGCUGAAUACUUACAUUAAUUUAGACUUAUUAAUUAUAAACAUGGAGUCUUCUAAUUUAUAUGCCAGAUUAAACUGCAAAUAUACUUUCAGAUAAUAUAUAAAAAGGGUCUUUUUCAAAAAACAUAUUGGUUCAUUUAUUAGAUAGAGAAUUGCAAUUGUUUUAACAAAAUCAUUUAGUAGAAAAUACGGUUAAUUACUCAUCUUUGAAAGCGAAACAACAUUUGAUUUUUGGGAGUAUGGUCUUAUUGCCCUAAAACUUUGAAAUGUAUUAUUCCAAGCCCGAUUUGAAGAUUUGUUCUCAAGUUCAGUCUAUUUAUCUUUACAGUUCAUAAUUGAAUUUAAAAUUCAAGAUCACUUGACUGUGUAUCUCAUCUCAUUUUUAUAUUUUUUAUCAAACUUUAAUUGCUCCACACCAUCGUGUUUUUUUUUUAUUUUGAGUGUAUUUUCUAUUUUAGUGUUUGUGCAUAAGUCAACCAUUGUUUACCUAUGUAAAUCUCCACAGACUUUCGAUUGUCGUUAUUGUGUCUUAUUUAUUGGUUUUGUUACAUUUUAAUUAAAUGUAUAUUAGAUUGUAUCGAAAACUAAAGUCUUUUGCUCGGAUGUCAACUCUGGAUUUCACGCAAUGCUUUCAUUAAUUUUGCUUUUGUUCUGACAUAUGGCUGAGACCAACGGAACAUUGUAUCGACUACCAACAAAUGUACUGCGUUAUUCCGAACUGAUGUCAGAUAAAAACAAGGAUAAUUGUUUUGGCUGACGAAUCAUACACAAAAUUAGUAGCAAAUAUACGUAAUUGACCAUCAAGAUUCUAAACGUUAAAGAGGGCAAUCGGUUUUCAAAAAUAUAUCUCUAUAAGAAUCAAUCAAAAUACUCAUGAGUUGAGUUCUAUUAAUUAUAAAACUGUCUAGGAAUAAAUCAAAUUAUUUCAACAUGGCUUUAAAUAAAAGGCAGGUACAUUUGUUUUGUUGUACAUGUAUUUCUAUUUUAGUGAUUGUCAUGUUCUUUUACCUCUGUAAAUCUUUACAAUUAUUACUAUAUUAUAUUUAAGACUUCGUGUCAUUUCAGUGUAUUUCCUGAAUGCACAGUUAUAAUUUAAUGUGUGAUUUGGGGUGACAGUUGUUUCACAAAAAUAUUCUCCUUUAUUAUAUGUUAUUUAUUGAUAUUAUAUUACAUUGUAUCGAAACCACUAUCUCUGGCUCUGAUGUUGAGUCUGUAUAACACAUAACGAUGUUGCUAUUUCUUGCUUCUGCAACAGGAUUUAGACCAUUGGAAAAUGUAUCGAAUACCAACAAAUCUAGGAUUUUUAUCCGUAUUGACACCUACAUAAAAGUUAAUAGCAAAAACGGAUAAUGUAAUGAGCUAUCAAGGGUCGGUAUUCAAAAAUAUAUCAAUAUAACAGACAAUCAAAAUCUUCACUUAUUUUAUUUCUAUAAAAAAAUAAACGUGUCCAGGAAUAAAUCAAAUUAUUUCAACAUGUACUUUAAAUCAAAGAAAUGUACAUCGAUAGAGUUAUCUCCCUUUGUACGGUUUAUUGCCAUUACUUGCAGGGUCAGGCUAACCCUAAAACUGAAAUCACAACAGGAUAAACUGAAUUUGAACAGUUAUUUUUUUUUUCAUUUUCGGUCAAAAGCUCCCAAAAUGCCAGAAUUACCUGCGUUUGUUUUUAAAACAGUUGCACGUUCGUUUUGUCAUUUUCCCAUUUUCGCCUAUGUUCUGUUAUUUCUGAAUAUGAUGUGUGUGUGUUUGUUAGAAUAUGAAUUAUGUAUAUAUACUUAAAUAAUAAUAAAUAAAGCUUGUUUUUAAACAA